rnacentral:rRNA from 1 species
UGCGUUUUAAUUUUUGACUCUAUUUGUUGUGGUGCUAUGAGUUUUUAGUUUGUUUUUAUGUUGUUUUUUGUAAAAUAUUUUGAUUUUUUUUUUAGUUUCUUGUGGUAUCAAAAAUUUGUUUUUUGAACUGGAUUAGUACCCAGGUAAUCAAAAUUUAAUAAUUCGGGAGUAAAGUUUUGUUUAAACCGAAAAAAUAUUGACUGACUUUAGAUUUUUCUUUGGAACAUGUGAUUUGCUGGAGAGCCCUCUUUUUUGGUGAAUUUUGUUGGCACAUGUAUGAUUGUUUAGUUUUUAUUUUAUUUUGUAAUGCUUUGUUGUUUUGGCAUUAAAAACAGAUAUAUAUUUGGCUUAUGAAUUUAUGUUUCAUGUGUUACUAUUAUGAAUUUUUUUUGGAUUAGUUUUUUAUUUUUUUUUGAAAUUGGAAAAGAAAGUAAUUUUUUUUUAAUGUUUUAAUGAAUUUAAUAAAUAAGG